rnacentral:piRNA from 1 species
UUCUAGAUGCAAACGCGAUAGGACGGUC